CUCUCGAGCUCCAUCAGUCUAGCCACCAUGAUAAGCGCCAGCCGAUCCGCUGCAGCCCGUGUUGUGGGCGCCCCCAAGGCCCCAGGGCCGCCCACCAGCAGGAUUGCUGGAAUGGCUUUAGUCAUGAGGCUUUCAGAUUUGUUUCCAGGAGGGAUUAUGCGUCAGAAGCAAUCAAGGAUGCAGUGGUUGGUAUUGAUUUGGGUACUACCAACUCCCGUGUGGCAGUUAUGGAGGGCAAACAAGCAAAGGUGCUGGAGAAUGCUGAAGGUGCCAGAACCACCCCUUCCGUUGUUGCCUUUACAGCAGAUGGUGAACGCCUUGUUGGUAUGCCAGCAAAGCGACAAGCUGUCACCAACCCAAACAAUACAUUCUAUGCCACCAAACGUCUCAUUGGCCGGCGAUAUGAUGACCCUGAAGUACAGAAAGACCUGAAGAAAGUCCCUUUUAAAAUUGUCCGUGCCUCUAAUGCUGAUACUUGGGUUGAGGAUCAUGCCAAACUCUAUUCUCCAAGUCAAAUUGGAGCAUUUGUAUUGAUGAAGAUGAAAGAAACGGCAGAAAAUCAUUUGGGACAUGCAGCAAAAAAUGCUGUUAUCACCGUCAAUGCUUAUUUCAAUUAUUCUCAGAGACAGGCCACUAAGGAUGCUGGCCAGAUAUCAGGACUAAAUGUGCUUCGGGUGAUUAGUGAACCUACAGCAGCAGCAGCUAAAUGUGAACUCUCUUCAUCUGUGCAGACUGACAUCAAUUUGCCAUAUGUUACUAUGGAUGCUUCUGGACCAAAGCAUUUGAAUAUGAAACUGACACGGGCUCAAUUUGAGGGAAUCAUUACUGAUCUUAUCAAGAGGACUAUUGUUUCAUGCCAGGAAGCUAUGCAGGAUGCCAAAAUCACCAAGAGUGACAUAGGAGAAGUGAUUCUUGUUGGUGGCAUGACCAGGAUGCCUAAGGCUCAGCAAACUGUGUAAGAUCUUUUUGGCCAAGCCCCAAGUAAUCUAUUAAUCCUGAUGAGGUUGUGGCCAUUGGAGCUGCCAUUGGUGUGCUAGCUGGUGAUGUCACAGAUGUGCUAUUCCUGGAUGUCACUCCCCUGUCUCUGGGUAUUGAGACCCUAGGAGGUGUGUUUACCAAACUUAUUAACAAGAAUACCACCAUUCCAAUCAAAAAGAGCCAGGUGUUUUCAACUGCUGCUGAUGGACAGGCUCAAGUGGAGAUUAAAGUAUGUCAGAGUGAGAGAGAGAUGGCUGGAAAUAAGAAACUUCUUGGUCAGUUUACUUUGAUUGGAAUUCCUCCAGCCCCUCAUGGAGUUCCUCAGAUUGAAGUUACAUUUGACAUUGAUGCCAAUGGAAUUGUACAUGUUUCUGCCAAAGAUAAAGGCACAGGACCAGAGCAGCAGAUUGUAAUCCAGUCUUCUGGUGGGUUAAGCAAAGAUGAUAUUGAAAAUAUGGUUAAAAAUGCAGAGAAGUAUUCUGAGGAAGACCAUCGAAAGAAGGAACGAGUUGAAGCAGUUAACAUGGCUGAAGGAAUUAUUCAUGACACAGAAACUAUGAUGGAAGAAUUCAAAGACCAACUGCCUACUGAUGAGUGCAGCAAGCUAAAAGAAGAAAUACCAAAGAAGAAAUACCCCAAAUGAGGGAACUCUUGGCUCCAAAAGACUGAAACAGGAAAAAACAUUAGGCAUACAACAUCUCUCCUUCAGCAAGAAUCAGUGAAGCUCUUUGAAAUGGCAUAUAAAAAGAUGGCAUCUGAAGGAGAAGGCUCUGGAAGUUCUGGCACUGGAGAACAAAAGGACAAUCAAAAGGAAGAGAAGCAGUAGUAGUUGCAGUACACU